AAGUCGUAACAAGGUUUCCGUAGGUGAACCUGCGGUAGGAUCAUUAUCAAUGAAACACUUCAUACACCGUGCACUAGACUUUGGGUUAGGCCAAAAAACUACCCAAUGAACAACACACUAUAAUUUAUAGCAGAGUCAAUUAGGAAACUAAUAAUGACAACUUUUAGCAACGGAUCUCUAGGUUCUC
rnacentral:misc_RNA from 1 species